UCGUUAACAUCAAGACUCAUGGUUAUUAGCCAUGAGCUUUUUUUCACGAUUGAAAGUGCUUUACAACCCGCAGGCCUUCUUCACACACGCGGCAUUGCUGGAUCAGGCUUGCGCCCAUUGUCCAAUAUUCCCC
rnacentral:rRNA from 1 species